rnacentral:rRNA from 1 species
AUUGAACGCUGGCGGCAGGCCUAACACAUGCAAGUCGAGCGGAUGAAGGGAGCUUGCUCCUGGAUUCAGCGGCGGACGGGUGAGUAAUGCCUAGGAAUCUGCCUGGUAGUGGGGGAUAACGUCCGGAAACGGGCGCUAAUACCGCAUACGUCCUGAGGGAGAAAGUGGGGGAUCUUCGGACCUCACGCUAUCAGAUGAGCCUAGGUCGGAUUAGCUAGUUGGUGGGGUAAAGGCCUACCAAGGCGACGAUCCGUAACUGGUCUGAGAGGAUGAUCAGUCACACUGGAACUGAGACACGGUCCAGACUCCUACGGGAGGCAGCAGUGGGGAAUAUUGGACAAUGGGCGAAAGCCUGAUCCAGCCAAGCCGCGUGUGUGAAGAAGGUCUUCGGAUUGUAAAGCACUUUAAGUUGGGAGGAAGGGCAGUAAGUUAACACCUUGCUGUUUUGACGUUACCAACAGAAUAAGCACCGGCUAACUUCGUG